CCAACACAUCUCAAAUGUCGCUUGAGCUGCAUGCCAGUGAUGUGAACUGAAGCAAGUACAAGAGCUGUGCCUUUCGACUUCAAAAGCUAAAGAUGGAGCAAUUGGACAAGACAACACAGUCACUUCUGGAAGCUGCACAGGCCAUUGCCUUGUUGGAGGCGCUCCCAAAAAUGUUCCCUUACCCAACCGCCCCUCCAAGAAAAGUCGGCAAGUGAGGCACUGUACCAUGUUCUUGAGCCAUCUGAGGACCCA